ACGAACGCUGGCGGCGUGCUUAACCCAUGCAAGUCGAACGGUGAAGCGCCUUCCUUUUUGGUGGGUGUGGAUGAGUGGCGAACGGGUGAGUAACACGUGAGUAACCUGCCCCCUUCUUCUGGAUAACCGCAUGAAAGUGUGGCUAAUACGGGAUAUUCUGGGUCUGUCGCAUGAUGGGUCUGGGAAAGAUAUUGUUUCGGUGGGGGAUGGGCUCGCGGCCUAUCAGCUUGUUGGUGGGGUGAUGGCCUACCAAGGCGGUGACGGGUAGCCGGCCUGAGAGGGUGGACGGUCACACUGGGACUGAGACACGGCCCAGACUCCUACGGGAGGCAGCAGUGGGGAAUAUUGCACAAUGGGCGCAAGCCUGAUGCAGCGACGCCGCGUGAGGGAUGGAGGCCUUCGGGUUGUGAACCCCUUUCGCCAGUGAAGCAGGCCUGCCUCGUUUGUGGGUGGGUUGACGGUAGCUGGAGAAGAAGCGCCGGCUAACUACGUG
rnacentral:rRNA from 1 species